CGCCUCACCGCGUGCACUGGUUCGGCCGGGCCUUUCCCUCUGGGGAGCCCCAUGCCUUUCAUUAGGUGUGGUGGGGAACCAGGACUUUUACUGUGAAAAAAUUAGAGUGUUCAAAGCAGGCCUAUGCUCGAAUACAUCAGCAUGGAAUAAUAGAAUAGGACGUGUGGUUCUAUUUUGUUGGUUUCUAGGACCGCCGUAAUGAUUAAUAGGGACAGUCGGGGGUGUCAGUAUUCAAUUGUCAGAGGUGAAAUUCUUGGAUUUAUUGAAGACUAACUACUGCGAAAGCAUUCACCAAGGAUGUUUUCAUUAAUCAGGAACGAAAGUUAGGGGAUCGAAGACGAUUGCCGUGAGCCCGGGGGCUCUGGUGCACUGGUUAGCUAGUGUAUCUGGUCGUCGAUAAUUGGGCGCGGGCCCAGUUAGUCUAUAGAGCACUAUAGGCGACACCGUCAAAUUGCGGGGACCUCCUUAGAGCCUCUACCACACCUGCCAGCUAGAAAUAGCGCGCAGUCGUAACAGUGUAGGGGAUUGGACAAUCCGCAGCCAAAUCCGUACCCUGAGAGCGCUACCCGGAACUUCCGGGUGGCAUUCGGGCUAGGAUGCAGUUCACAGACUAGACGUCGGUGGGGGUUAACCCUUAAGAUAUAGUCGAGCCGCCUUAGAGAUAGGGCGUUCAGUUGCAGAUACCGUCGUAGUCUUAACCAUAAACUAUGCCGACUAGGGAUCGGGCGGUGUUAUUUUUUGACCCGCUCGGCACCUUACGAGAAAUCAAAGUCUUUGGG
rnacentral:rRNA from 1 species